AACACCUCUUUUUGGUCUUCCUCUGCAACAACACUGUACCUCUUCCCAGCAACCGUCCUCAUAAUGACGUUCAAAGUCAAGUCCGAAAAGUGUUUCUUCAUCUCAACCAACACCUUACUUGAGCCAUCCUUUUUCGCAGCCCAAGUUUUAUAUAAUAGUUUCAUUGAGCCUUCUAUUUCCGAGACAAACACUUUCUUGAGCUGAUCGAUCCUGUGAUUGGAUAGCACCUCCAACAUUGUUAUUUUGCGCAUUUCACGCCAGUAUUGUCCAUAAGGAGAAAACCCAAACAUGGCAUAGUUGUAACCCAAGUGUUCAGCGGCGGCAAAUUCUGAUCUGGAAGAGACAUACAUAUCAUUGACGGUGAAGAUUUCCUUGGCUACCUCACUCGAAUUCACCACCAGGGCUGGGUGAACACCAAUCCGGAUCAUGUAGGCAGGUCCAUAUUUCUCACCUAAGUCUCCCAAUGUUUCAUGAGGGGUCUUGGGUCCGCCUAACAGCGGAAGGUGACCGAUUAUUGGCCAUGCACCGGCUGCUACGGGUGCAGCUUUGCUGCUACUUCCUGAGCUAGACUUCUUGAGUUUGGUGUACAAAAACAGUAGCGUGAUGCCUAACACUACUGCAUAACCAAAAGUGGAGAAAUCAAGAAGAUCCAUCACUGCUGUGUUAAGAAAGUGUAGAGAUCUUCUGAAGAAAUUGAUGAUGGGAAUGUCUUGCCUUUUGCACUUAUAAAUAUAGCUGGGGUGCCAAGACGCCAACGGUCAAGCUUGUCCUUGUGGAAAUUGAAUUUUUUAAUUCUAUUUUAUUAUCAUUGAAUAAAGCUCCGUCAUCAAUGUUUGAAUGGUAUUCAGGUGCCAUACUGGUUCAUCCACUGAAGUCAAAGAAAAUACUAACAAGUUCAAAACCUUAAAUAGGCUACGGAACCAUCCAAGCAGUUAAGACUAAAGCCGAAUCCCUAACCAUAAAGUGGGUCUAUAUGGAUGUUAUUGUUCCAUCUUUUAUGAUCAUUUGAACUAAAAGGUAAAUCGGUCGGUAUCAACACAUUUAGCUUGAUAGUUAAAUUAAUCAUGUGAUGCGAGAGGGCUCUUCAAUAAUGGCAACUACAUUAAGAUAGUAAGGUCCUCCGUUUUCAACACAUUGUAUAUUUUAAUACAUUGGUCACUUAUGUAGGUGAGAGGGUUCUUGUUUGGCGGCUUAUACUUUAAUAACAUUUCCAGGUUUUUUCUCUUCUUUUUUGGCUGUCCCACUGCUAACUGCUUAAUUAGUCGGUCAGCUCCUUUCUAAAAUAAGAUAUAUAGAAGAUGUAAUAAAAAAUUUUAGGUUCUUGUUUGGCGGCUUAUACUUUUAUAACAUUUCCAGGUUUUUUUGUUCUUUUUUGGCUGUCCCACUGCUAACUACUUAAUUAGUCGGUCAGCUCCUUUCUAAAAUAAGAUAUAUAGAGGAUGUAAUAAAAAAUUUUGGUUGGUUAAAAUUGAGAUUUAUUUUUGUAUGUAAGUAAAAAUGUAAUUUUAUUAUUUUAAUAAUUUAUAUUUUUUGUAAUUUUUAAAAAAUUUAAUUAAUUUUUUUUAUUAUUUUAGAGGUGAAGUGCAAUUUUAUUAUAACUAAUUUAAAAUUUUAUAAAUUAUUAAAAUGUCAAAAGAAGGAUUUUUUAUUUUAAGAGGGUCCAGGGCACCACCGGGUACACAAGACCCUUAAAAAAAUUAAUUGAAAUCUUAUACUAAAUUUGCAUUCAAUUCAACUUCUACAGUUAAUAAAAAAAUAAUUAAACCCUUCCGUUAAUAGUUUCUAUCUUUAAUUAUGUUACUAUUAAAAUCAAUUGAUAAAUCAAUCAAAUGACGACACGUGAAAGCUUUUGAUUUAAUCAUAUAAUUUCCUCAUUAAAAAUCAUAAAAAUGUUAUAAAAAAUUAAAAAUAUAUAUAAACUUAUAAAACCUAUAAAAAUUAUAAAAACUUAUAAUAAAUUAUACAAAUAGUAAAAAAUAAAACAUAUUAAAAAUAUUUAUAAAUUAUAAAUAUUAUAAAAAAUCUAGUAAUCUAAUAAUUAUCAAUAAUUAUAAAACUUAUAAAAAUUAGAAGAAAUUAUGAAAAAUUGUAACUUUAUUUAAAACUAUAAAAUGUUACAAAUAUAUAAAUAUUUAUUUAUUUGUUCCUCGUUUUAUAAAUUAAACCCCUAAAAUUAAAAUAAACACGCGACUUUAAAUCAACUUUUGGAUAAUGAGAAUAGUCGUUUGAAUAUUUUAUGUUAACAUACAUUAAUAUUUACAACCAUUGGAUAAUAAGUUUGGUUUUAUAAUAUCUAACUGUACCAAAAAACUUUAUAUUAUACUAUAAACAUUUUUCAAACUUUUGGAGUUCCAAACUAUUGUAUUGUACUUUAAAAACUAAAUAUAAAAAUUUUAAAAUUAAAAACAAUAAGUUAUCAAUAAAAAGGAAAGAGCCUCUUAAUCAUCAUUAUAUUAUUUUUGGAAGAUUGAUAAUAUUUCAUUCAACACGAAAAUGAUCUUAACGAUCUCACUAUUAUUCUCAUUGUUCGAUAGUUAAUCUCAUAUGAUGUGUUUGUUAUGAUUUUAGGGUUUAACUACCUUUUUAUAAUUUCUAAUGUUUUCUAAUUUUUAAUAAUUUUAUAAGUUUUUAUAAAAUUUAAUAGAAAUUUUUGUAAGUUUAUAUAAUUUUAUUAGUUUUAUAAUUUUUUUAAGAUUAAAUAAAAAAGGUUAACUUAUUUUAAUAAUCAAUAUGAUGAAAAGACAAAAAAAUAUUAAGAGAAGUUCUUAAUUAAUUUUUUUUAUUAAUUGUAAGAAUUCAAUUGGGUUUAAUUUCAUCGAAAGUAGGUAGACUUGUUGGCCAUGCUGGGUUGGAUAUCAUUUUGUCGACUUUGAGGAUUCAGUGUCCACUAUUCUCAAGUAACGUAGACUUUUCUUUUCUUUUUUUUAGUAUAUAAUAUGAUAUUAAUAUAUAAAGACACCAAAUUUGAAGAAAGUUUACUUCAAGAUUAUUAAAAUGUAUCCUGGGAAAUUUUUUUACCCAUCAAAUUACUCAUAUUCUUCAUUGACUUAUUUAAUAUAAUACAGGACACCAAAAUUGAAGAAAGUUUAAUUUAAUCCAAAUUCAAGUUUAUUAAAAUGUAUCUUACAAUUUUUCUUUAACCCAUCAAUGUAAUAUUAUUUGAUACACUUUCGAUAGAGAUUUUAGAUAUAAUAGGGUCAGUAGGUGAUAAGUAUUUUAUAAAAAUAUAAUAAAAUAUUUUUUUUUAAAAAAAGCAUGACAAUUUUUAAAAACUACUUAUAAAAUAAAAAAAUAUAUUAUUAAUAUAUUAAAUACAAAUCCUAUUAAUAUAUACCAACACCAAAAUUGAAGAAAGUUUAAUUUUGUAAGAUCCACUUCAAAUUUAUUAAAAUUCAUCUUGGAAAUUUUUUUAACCGAUAAACUUUAUAUUGUUCACUGAAUGACAAUUUUUUUCAUUUUUUAUUUUAUUAUUUUAUCAAAUGAUUCUGAUUAAAUGAACUUAUUUGGAGAGGGAUGAUUGAUUAGUAUAUAUAAAGCUUGGACAGGCCUGGUUCACCACUGCCGUCUGAAAUUGAAAGAGCCACCAAGAGGGUGAAUGACAAAGACAAUAAUGAACUGGAUCCUAGGGAUCAGAAGAUGGAGGACUCUCAUGGUUGGAAGGAAUCUCAUGGGAAGGAAACUGUUUUACUUGAUCACGAUGAGUUUGAGCUGUUUGGAUGAUGAUAAUAAUGCAGCCUCGCCAAUACCCAAAAAUAUUUUUUUUUCCUACGGUUUAUAAUAGUUGAACUUUUAGUGGUAUAAUAAAUAUGAUUUUAGAAUUUUAUUUCUAUAAAUCAGAUUAAUAAAUAUUAAAUAUUAAUAUUUAUGAGAAUAUAUAAAAAUAUAUUUAAAAUUGGCUUAAUAAUUUUGUCAAUUAUAUAGUUAACCAAGGCUCAAAGAUUAAAUUGUAAAAAUUUCAAUCGUUAUAAAUUUUUAAUUGAUUGAAGACUUAAAUAACAAUUAAUCAAUGACUAAAAUGAUAAAUAAAUCAUUUUGUAAUAUAAGAUAGUAGAUGAUGAUGCUGUUUUCCAAUUGUAAUUAAAGUAAACUAAUUAAGGAUUAGGUUAAUUAAUCAAGGUUAACUAAUUUUUAAUUAAGGUAUAAAAGUUAAAUUUAGUGGAGGAGAAUUUGUCAUCUUCCUCAUUUGCUCUUCUUGUCGUCCAUUGAAGAAAGCCUAAUGAAAAAUACUAAAGACAUCCUGCCAUUGAUUUUAAGAUAAAUUCAAGUCAUUUUAUUAAGAUUUUUAUGAAUUUAGAGUUCUGGGAGUUUGAUUUGGCUAAUUUAUGUACCAAUUUGUAAAACUGUUAAAGUUUUAGAAAGUUGCAUAUUGUUGAUUUAUUGAAGAAUUAGGCUUGAAAUUGAUAGAUUUUAAACUUAAAAAAUAAAAAAGAACUAGAUUGUAAAGUUAAUUUAGCUUGUUUGUUAAUUUUGUUACAUUAGGAAUCAAAUUAAAUAAAUAUAAAACUUAUCAUGAAAUUAUAUUAGAAAUAGAAAGUAUAAGGUUCAAAAUAAAAAUAUGUGAAAUCGGAUUUUAAUUCGAAUCUAAGAAUUGAAAGUUAUGACUAUCCCGACUAUAGGUUCAUGCAUAUCAUAGAAUAGUAUGGAGAUACUUGGUAUUGAUUAAUGAUAUAAAAUGAUUGUUUAGAUCAAGAAUCGGAUCGAAGAGAAGUUGAUCGGGAAAAAACUAAAAUUGCGAAUUAGCCCCUAAAGUAUCCGCUUUGCAUAUUUUGAACAAAUAAGUUCAAAUGAAACUUAUCACUCUCUUUUAUUUUAUGUAUAUAUUAAUUAUGUUUGAAUUUAUCUAUAUGCUAGAAUUUAGUUAAUUUGGCACAUAUGACUUAAAAUUGACUAAAUUGAAAAGUCAUGUGGAUAUUGAUUAUUAUGAAAUAGUACAGGGUGCAAAUAUGAAUGUUGAUUUAUUACAGAACUCGUAAAUGAAAUAUGUAAUCAUGUACAUAUUGGAUCUGGUGACUUAAGUGUAGUAUAUUCGUUUAUACAAUUGUAAUUUUUUCGAAUAAAUUGGUUAAUAAAUUAUUAGUGAAUUACAAUAAUACCCUUUGUAUAUUGUCCUCACGUGAUUUUUGCAUGUAAAACAAAUAUUAGUUCAGUGGUUAUCUAAUGUUUAAAUAAUACUAAAUGGUAUUACGUGGUCGGAUUGUAAAACGGAUAGAUAUCUAAUAUUAGUAGACAACUUAUAAAAUAACAUGUUAUUUCCGAUUAGAUUAAGGACAUGUUUAGAUUCGCCUACUAAUAUAAGUUGUUUUUCCGUAUUAUGAUCCGACCACAUAAUACCACUUAGUAUUAGUUUAAACAUUAGAUAACCAGUAAACCAAUAGUUGUUUUUAUUUUUACUUUGCAUGCAAAAACUAUACAAAGACAUUAUACAAAGUAUAUUAAUGAAAUUCAUAAAUUAUUUUAUUAACCAAUCUGUUUGAAAAAAUUACAAAUUUACAAACUAAUAUACUACACUUAAAAUAUAGAUCUAACAAAGAUAAAUAAUUAUUAUAGAUAUUUGUAUAUAUAUAUAUAUAUAUAUAUGAUGGUUGAGUUAAUUGUUAUUCAUGUGUUUAAUUAAAAGCAUGAUAGAAAUUGGGUUAUGUAAAAUACAUAGCGAUGAUGUAAGGCAUUAUUUGAAUAGCCAAUAUUUAAAUCAUCUACAUUUAUGCUAUGCCUCGCUAUGUUCCCAUAUUUGAACUUAUUUACUUUUCCUUGAUAAAUUUUUUGUAAUAUACCUUGAUAAACUUUUUGUAAUAUUGAAACCUUGAACCAAAAUUUCAUAAAUUCUAAUUAAUGGGAAAAAAAGAAGAUAAUACGUAUCUCAAAAUGCUGACUCCCAACUCUUUAACAUAGUCGUGCAGGGUGAUGCUAGCAUAUUAGACACAACAAGUAGAAACGCAUAGCAGAAAAAUGAAGUCAACAUUUGCCAAAAAAAAAAUAUUGAACCUAAAUUUGAGAGCAAAGCAUUUUCAUGUUUACCAUAUAAACAAUAUUAAAUCUAGAUGUUUACCAUUAUUGAUUCCAAAAAAGAGAAAAAAGGAGGAGUGUAAUAGAUACAGACAUACUCAAAUUAAAUAAUAAUACAACAAUAAAAUCAAAAUGCAUAAGCAUUAUUGUUCUUCACACCUGAUUAUUGCCAUCUUCAUCUAAAUUUUAAUUAUAAAGUUCAGGAGCAAGGCGAGGUGAGACCAAGGCUUCAAGCGGUGUAGAUUUAAUGUUAGUCAAUCCAGCGGUGCCGGUCAAGUCAAUCAAACCAUUGGAUGGUGUUGAGAAAUCGAAGGCGUGCAAAAAAUUAGACAUGGUCAAGAACAACAUAUGGAGUGCAAACGAUGUUCCAGGACAACUCCUCCUACCGCUGCCAAAGGGCAUUAGUUCAAAAUGUUGACCCCUAACAUCCACAUCUUUGUGGGUAGUGAGAAACCUCUCGGGCUUAAACUCCAAUGGUUCUGGCCAUUUUUUAGGAUCCCUUUGAAUCUUGUGAAGGUUUAUGAUCAACCGAGUGCCUUUGGGGAUGUCGUAGCCUCCAAUGGAGCAAGUUUCACUGAGCUCACGAGGUGCUGACAGAGGUGCAGGUGGAUACAAUCUUAAUGUCUCUUUAACUAUGGCUUGAAUGUACACCAAUUUGCCGAUGUCUGUUUCAUUCACAAACCUAUCCUUGCCUAUAUGGGUGUCUAGUUCUUCUUGAGCCUUUUUGAGUAUAUGAGGUUUAUUUAACAUGAGGGAAAGACCCCAUAUUAAGGUAACUGUUGUUGUGUCACUGCCUGCUAAAAUCAUAUUCUGCAAUAUGCAUUUUUCAUAAUUUUUAGAAUUUUAGAAUUGAAUAAUGGAGAGAUAAGAAUUGAAAAAAGAACGAGUAAAAUGUUAUACCAAAGAAGUGGCUUUGUUGAUGGUGUCAGCAUCAUAUCCGGCAAGACUUGCACCUUUAAGAACGGAGUUCAUCACAUCCAUGAAAUCCUUCUCCUUUUUAUUUUCAUCCCAGCGUCCACUCUUCCUAUGGUCAUCUAGCCAUCCCCCGGAAAUUUCAUCCAACUCUUUAGCAGUUAUCUUCAUCCGCUUUUCAUAACCACCAAUAUCCAACCAUCGGAGGAAAGGGACUGCAUCUCCCAACACAAACAUCCCUGUCAAGUGAAAGAAAUCCCGUAGAGCCUUACGAUAUCUCAACACCUCUUUUUGGUCUUCCUCUGCGACAACACUGUACCUCUUACCAGCAACCGUCCUCAUAAUAACGUUCAAAGUCAAGUCUGAAAAGUGUUUUUUCAUCUCAACCAACACCUUACCCGAGCCAUCCUUUUUCUCGGCCCAAGUUUUAUAUAAUAGUUUCAUUGAGCCUUCUAUUUCCGAGACAAAAACUUUCUUGAGUUGAUCGAUCCUGUGAUUAGAUAGCACCUCCAACAUUGUUAUUUUGCGCAUUUCACGCCAGUAUUGUCCAUAAGGAGAGAACCCAAACAUGGCAUAGUUGUAACCCAAGUGUUCUGCGGCCGCAAAUUCGGAACGGGAGGAAACAUACAUAUCAUUGACGGUGAAGAUUUCCUUGGCCACCUCACUCGAAUUCACCACCAAGGCUGGAUGAACACCGAUCCGGAUCAUGUAGGCAGGUCCAUAUUUCUCUUCCAAGUCUCCUAAUGCUUCAUGAGGGGCCUUGGGUCCACCUAACAGCGGAAGGUGACCGAUUAUUGGCCAUGCACCGGCAGCUACAGGUGGAGCUUUCCCACCACUUCCUGAGCUAGGCUUUUUGAGCUUGGUGUACAGAAAGAGUAGCGUGAUGCCAAAGACUACUGCAUAACCAAAAGUGGAGAGAUCAAGAGGAUCCAUCUCUACUUAUUUUGAUAGGAAAAUGCAGAGAUCUUCUGAAGAAGUUGUUGAUGGGAAUGAAAUGCUUUUUGCACAUAUAAAUAUAGCUGGGAGGUGUGUAGUCGGUCAAGCUUGUCUUUUGGGAAAUUGAAUAUUUUUUUAGUUCUAUUUUAUUAAUAUUAAACAAAGCUCCGUCAUCAAUGUUUGAAUGAUUUUCACCUGCAUUCAGUGCAAUAAAAAAAAAUACAACAAAUUUAUUUGUGGAUAAGAAAAUAAAAAUAAGUCCCUCCCCAAUUAAUCGAGCCCAUCAUGAAAAAUGUAGUUACAUGUAUUGAAAACCUUAAACAAGCUAUUACACUAGAACUAGAACUCGAUUCUAUGUCUAUACUCUAUAUCAAUCUUUUUUAUGAUCAUUUGAAGUAAACUGAAAAUAAUUAAUAUAGUGAGCUAAAAGGGUUCUUCCAUUAGCCUCGAUAAUGACAACCAAAUUAAAGAUAUAAGUGUCUCUUUCUAGCUCUAUGUGUCCUCUGCACUCCAAUUGGUAGGUGGGGGGUCCUGUUUGGCGGCCAAUAAUUGGUAUAUUAGCUUCUUUCUAAUUUAACACCUUUUAAAUUCACAACGAUAAUUAUUUUGAAGUAACUGAGCACAAAAUUUUUAAGUUAAUUAAGUUUAUAAGUUUUAUUUUAUUAUUUUAAUUUAAUUUAAUUUUUUUUAAUUGAGCCGAGUAAAAUAAAAUUGAAUCGAGUUAAACCGAGUAAAAUUAUUCAAGUUAUAUUAAAAAACUAAACAAGUCAUAAUAAAAUAUUGUUAUAAUAUAACUAAUUCCAUAUUAGAUCAUAUAAAUUUAAAAACUCUUUAAAAGAAAAAUAAGAGAAAAAUAAAAUACUUUAGCAUUAUAACCUUGAAUCAUUAAUUUAUUUAUUUAGGUUCUAAAAUUAUUGUUUUAGAAUUUCUGUUAAUUUUAAUACAUUUUUUAAUUUUUAAUUUUUUAAAUAUAAAGUUUAGAAUUUUUAAAAAUAUUUAGAAUUUUAAAAAUUAUUUUGAAUUAUUUUAUAAUUUUUACUGAGAGUGAUCGAUUUGUUUAUUUUCAAAAUUAAUAGAGACUAAAUGAGAAUUUACACCAAUCUAUUAUUCGAGUUGUAAAAUUCUACUAGACUCGAACUCGAAACUCGAUUUAUUUAUUCAAGUUUACUUAUUCAGUUAACUCGAAAUUUAUAUAUAUUUUUUAAUUUUGAAUUAAAGUUUUACUCACCCAUAAUAAUAAUAAUAAUAUUAUUAUUAUUAUUAUUAGAAAAACGAAAUAGAGUAAAUAAACUAAAUUAAUCUUGUCAUUAGAUUAAUGCAUUAUUGCCCUAAGUUACUAUUUAAAAAAAUAAAUGAACAUAAGUUGGUAGACUUCUUGGCUUGUAGUCGUCACCCAUCACCCAUGUUGGCUAGAAUAUUUUUUUUUUCUUUUUGGCCUUUGAAAAUUCAGUGUAAGAAAUGAAAGUUAAAGAAGUAUUAGUUUGGAAAGAUCCACCUCAAUUUUAUGAUUUUUAAGAUUAAUGCCUUAGUACCCUAAAUUAAUAUCUACAGGUUCAAUUUAAAAGAAUAACCCUUAUCGAUGUUAGUAAUUUUUAAACAAAAUUAACAGAAAAAUUGAUUAUGAGCAAUUCAAAGGGUAGAGAGAGUAAUUUUGAGUAAAUAAAACUAAAAGGAUCAAAUCCACACAAAUCUAUAACUUUAAGGACUUUACUUAUGAUUUAACCAAAAAGUAAAUCAAUAGAAGUCGUUCUCGUCACUCGUCACUCAUCACCCUUGUGGAUUAAAUAUGACUAUCUCAUUUUUCCAAUAAUGAGAUUAAUGUUAAAAAAAAUUAUAUUUCAUAUAUUAAAAUUAAGAGGAGGGUAAAACCCUGCUAAUAAUGUGAUUCAAACUCAAGUCAUACUUGAGACGGUAAACACCUGACCAUCAAAACAACAACACAUGGGGUUCACUUUUUUUUUAAAAUUUUUAAAUUAAAGGAAAAUACAUUUAAAGGUACUCAAAUAGUUAAAUUCAUAUUUUUUUAAUUCUAAAACAACUGUGAAAAAUAUAAAAAAAUUAAAUUAAAUUAAUUGUCACUUAAUUAGGGUUAGGAAUAAAAUAGAAUAAAGUAAAAUUUGUUACAACUAUAGAUUGAAUAAUAAGAUAAGAUCGAAGAUGAUACCAAGGAUAAUAGAUUAAAGAAUAUCAAGAUUCAGAAUAUUUAAAUAUUUUGUAACGUUAUUAUUUAUUAUUUACUUAUGUUUAGAACUCUAGUCUUAUGAUUUUUAUUUUAAUUAUUUUUAGGAAGUUAAUUUUUUUAAAAAUUUGUGAUGUUGAAUUUAUUAUAUAUGAUAUGAUCUAAUUUGAAUAGUUGUUUCUCUUAUAAAAAAUAUUAUAAAAUUGAGAAAAUAUUAAGAUAAUAUCAUGACAAUUAGUUAAGUUGAUUUUGAACAAAAUUCAUAAAUUUCAAUGAUUUGGUUGCAAUUUUUAUUCGAUUUGAAUUUAAUAUUUAAUUAAAAAUGUUUUUAUUUGAUUCUAAAAUAUAAAAUAUAUUUAAAAUAAAAAAAUAUUAAAGAUAUUAGUUUUUAAUGCUAAAACGAAAAACAAUUAAAAUUAAUGUUUUGACAUUAAAAGUCAAAAGUUAAUUUGAUUAUUAAUACAUAAAAAUCAUAAUUAAUUUUAUAAAUCAAAUCAAAUUCUAAUAUCGCAAAACACAAUUUUCUACAAAUUAAUUAUUAUACUUAAAAUUUUCAAUGACCAAACGUGUUGAUGUAGUAACAUUUAUGUUUUUAUCCGUGGUUUUAAAAUUUGAUUGAACUAAUAGUAUUGAGAAUUAAUUGAAAUUGAAAUGAUUUUGGUUUUUAACUUAAUGAAAUAGAUUAAUGAUAAAUAUAGGAUUUAGAAAAAUUCAAAUUAUCUUUUCCUACUAUCUCAUUUCAUUUUAAAUAAUUUAAACCAAAUUCAUGUUUUAAGUGAAACAAUCUUGAGUCAAGCAGAUUCAGUGGCACAUGCCAUUGAGUUUGGUGGAGUGGCCAUGUAACUAAAUGUGAAAUAGUUUUGAGAAAAAAUAAUACAUGCAAGGCAUACGCUUCUAACUUUUAAUUAAUCAGGAAAAAUAAUAUAUAAAAUUUAUAUAUUCGACUCCCAACUCUUAACAUACUCAAGCAGGAUGAUGCUAACAUAUUAGACACGAGAAAUAGAAAUGCAUAGCACCAAGAUUUCAAUUUUCAACUUUAACUUUGACAACUAAGAUGUUCCCCGUUUACCAUCUCAACAUCACCAAAUUCUAGAUGUUUUACUAUACAAGUAUUUGUUUAUUUAUCAAUUUUACCAUUAUUGAUUAAAAUAUAUAUAAUCGAAACCACAUACUCGAAUUCAACAAUAGAAGAAUCAAAAUGCUUAAACAUUCUUCUUCUUCACACAUGAUUAUUGCAAUCUUCAUCUAGAUUUUAUUUAUAAACUUCAGGAGCAAGACGAGGUGAGACCAAUGCUUCAAGCGGGGUAGAUUUCAUGUUGGUCAAUCCAACAGUGCCGGAUAAGUCAAUCAAAUCAUUGGAUGGUGUUGAGAAAUCAAAUGCGUGCAAGAAAUUAGACAUGGUCAAGUACAACAUAUGGAGUGCACAAGAUGUUCCAGGACAGCUCCUCCUACCACUGCCAAAGGGCAUUAGUUCAAAAUGCUGACCCCUAACAUCCACAUCUUUAUGCGUAGUGAGAAACCUCUCAGGCUUAAACUCCAAUGGUUUUGGCAAUUUUUCAGUAUCCCUUUGAAUCUUGUGAAGGUUUAUGAUCAACCGAGUGCCUUUGGGGAUGUCUUAGCCUCCAAUGGAGCAAGUUUCACUGAGCUCACGAAGUGCUGACAGAGGUGCAGGUGGAUACAAUCUUAAUGUCUCUUUAACUAUGGCUUGUGUUGUGCGGAAGCGUGUGAAAGAGUAAAAUUAUUGUACUAAAAAAUCACACUAAGUUCAAUUCCCAGGAAAGAGAGGUGGAUCACGAGGAUCACUUAAGUACCAAGUCUUUCCUAGCCAGAAUAUCCCUCUAUCAUAAUUUAAUAGCACAAUAAAUCACUACAAUCACACUCACAAAAUAUGAACAAUAAAUAGUAAAGAACACCAGAAUUUUAACGAGGUUCAGCAAAUCUUGCUUACGUCCUCGGGCACUACCAAAUAUAUUUCACUCCAAAAUACAAGUGAAACUUUACAAAUAGGGAGAGAGAACAAUGCUUUAAGUAGAGAAUGACAAAUGUGGGAUGAUGAGAAUGAGCAAUGGUUGACCUAUUUAUAGUUGAGGUUCAAGGGCCACCUUGCAAAGUCCCUAUUCACUUAGGGACCAAAAAUUACUAUUAUUCCAUGCCCAACACUAAAUAAAUAUUUGGUGCCCAUAACUUUGACCUUUCCAAGGUAUAGGUAGGUAUGGGAAAGGUAUGGGCAAGGUAUGGGGUAUAUUCUAAUAAUCUCCACAUUGAAGAUUUGAUUAGGAUAAUCUUAUCUUCACACAAUUCUUUCUGCCUUUGACAACAAUACUUGAUAGUGCCUUCUUCAACUGUUAAACUUGCAGGAUAUUGAUCAAGUUCAAACAAUGUUCGAACUUGGUUGCUGUUACCAUCUAGGUCAUCAUAUCUGCGGGAUUAUCUGCAGUCUUGAUCUUCUGUAGACAAAAUUUCCCCUCUUCAAUAAUUUCCUACACAAAAUGGAAUCGUACGUCGAUAUGCUUUGUACGUGCAUGAUAGACUUGAUUCUUUGCUAAAUGAAUAGCACUUUGACUAUCACAAUACACGUUAAUAUGCUCUUGAACCAACCCCAAGGUUUUAGCCGUACCUUGUAACCAAAUAGCCUCCUUUACAGCCUCUGUUACAGCCAUGUACUCGGCUUCUGUAGUUGACAACGCAACUGUAGACUGUAAUGUAGACUUCCAACUUAUUGGUCCUCCAGCAAGUGUAAACACAUAACCGGUGGUUGAUCUUCGCUUGUCCAAAUCACCGGCAUAGUCAGAAUCAACGUACCCAAUAACACCUUUACCAAGUGUAUUAUCCUGCUUGAACAGUAAUCCAACAUCUAUGGUCUUCUGAAUAUACCGUAGGAUCCAUUUCACAGCUUGCCAAUGUCCUUUUCCAGGAUUAUGCAUAUACCUGCUCACUAUACUAACUACCUGUGAAAUGUCGGGUCUUGUACACACCAUUGCACAUCAAGCUACCCACUGUAUUAGAAUACGGAACUUGCAACAUGUAUUCUCGUUCCGUAUUCGUCGAAGGAGAUAGUUGUGCAGAAAGCUUGAAAUGAGAAGCCAACGGGGUACUUACAGGUUUUGUCUGCUCGUUCAUGCCAAACUGCUGUAGUACCUUCUUCAAAUACUGCUUCUGAGACAAGAUAACUCUAUCAUGAGCUCUAUCUCUCCAUAUUUCCAUGCUGAGAAUCUUUUUAACUUCUCCUAGAUCUUUCAUCUCAAACUCGAGAUUGAGUUGAGUCUUCAAUCUUUCAAUCUCAACUCUGCUCUUAGAUGCUAUUAGCAUAUCAUCAACAUGUAAGAGCAAGUAUAUGAAAGUUCCAUCUUGUAGCUUCUGAAAAUAUACACAAUGAUCAAAUUUUCUUCUUGUGUACCUCUGUCCUUUCAUGAACUGAUCAAAUCGCCUGUACCACUGCCUCGGAGAUUGCUUCAAUCCAUAAAGCGACUUUGUCAGUUUGCAAACCCAAUUUUCUUUUCCAGCAACCUUGAAUCCAUCUGGCUGAGUCAUAUAGAUUUCCUCUUCCAAAUCACCAUGUAAAAACGUGGUCUUCACAUCAAGCUGAACUAGUUCAAGAUCAUAUUGCGCAACCAAGGCUAGCAAAAUCCGAAUAGACGAAUGCUUCACAACUGGAGAAAACACUUCAUUGUAGUCUAUUCCUUCUUUCUAAGCGUAACCCUUUGCUACUAAUCUAGCCUUGUAUCGAAUUUCAAUUUUACUAGGAAAUCCUUCCUUCUUUGCAUAUACCCAUUUGCAUCCAAUUGCCUUCUUUCCCUUGGGCCGUGUCACCAACUCCCAGGUCCUAUUUUUAUGAAGAGACUGCAUUUCUUCAUUUAUUGCUUGCUUCCACUUUACACCAUCAGGGUUACUUAUUGCUUCUGUGUAAGUAGAAGGAACAUCAUCAUCUGCAAUUGGAAGUGCAUAGGCCACUAUAUCAUCAAAGCGAGCAGGCUUACGAAUCUCUCUUCUUAGCCUCCUAUAUGCAAUUGAAUCUUGUUGCUGUAGAGGUUCUUGGGUAGGAACCUCUUCAUCAUUUGUCCCUCCAAUAUUAGCUGGAUCAUCGUUAACCUUUUCAAGCUCCACCUGCUGCAAAGUACUACUGGUUUUGUCAUCCUUUUGUGAAUCCUUGUACUUUAACAUGGUUGAUUCAUCAAAAGUCACAUAUCUACUGAAAACAAUCUUCCUUGUAUCAGGACACCAGAGACGGUAUCCUUUUACUCCAUCAGUUAUACCCAAGAAUAAUGCUUUCUUUGCUCUUGGGUCUAACUUAGAUUCUUUUACAUGAUAAUAUGCAGUGGAACCAAAUACAUGUAAAGAAUCAUAAUCAGUAGCAGAUUUAUCAGUCCACAUCUCCAUAGGAGUUUUUCUAUUUAUUGCAACUGAUGGCAAACGGUUAAUUAGAUAGCACACAUAUGUAACUGCCUCAGCCCAAAAUUCCUUGCCCAAUCCAGCAUUGGACAACAUACAUCGAACUUUCUCCAGUAUAGUUCGAUUCAUGCGUUCUGCCACCCCAUUCUGCUGUGGUGUAUCCCGAACAGUGAAGUGUCGUACAAUGUCCUCAUCUUGGCAUACUUGUAGAAAUGGAUCGUUUUUGUACUCAGUACCAUUAUCUGAUCGAAGUCGUUUGACCUUUCGACCAGUCUAAGUCUCCACUAUCUUCUUCCAUUUCAGAAAUGCAUCCAAAACUUUACUUUUUCUUUUCAUUAGAUACACCCAUACUUUUCUUGAAUGAUCAUCAACAAAAGUAACAAAAUAGUACAUACCUCCCAAAGAAGCCACUUUGGUAGAUCCCCACACAUCACUGUGAAUGUAGUCCAGAAUUCCUUUCGUAUUGUGAAUUGCUGGACCAAAUUUUACCCUCUUCUGCUUGCCCAGAACACAAUGUUCACAGAAUUCCAUUUUGCAAGAAUUUGCACCUUUCAACAAGCCUUGCUUCGCCAAUGUUUGCAAAGCUUUUUCACCAGCAUGUCCCAAUCGCAUAUGCCAUAAUCUGGUAGCCUCUGAAUCUACAUCUUUUGUAGAAACUGUUGAUGUUGAUCCAAUAACUGUACUUCUAUUUAAAAAGUACAAGUUAUUUCUUCUUGUGCCUUUCAUCACCGUCAGUUGCCCAGCUACUACUUUUAGUAAUCCAUCUCUCAAAGUGAUUGUGAGCCCUUUAGAUUCUAGGGCCCCUAAUGAGAUGAGAUUUUUCUUCAGGCUAGGUACGUAGCGAACAUCUAUCAAGACUUGGGUUGAGCCGUCGUGAUUCUUCAAUUGGACUGUACCUACUCCCAUUGUCUUACAAGCACUAUCAUUGCCCAUAAGAACAAUUCCAUCUUCUAGCUCUUUAAGACUAGAAAACCAGUCCUUAUUAGGACACAUAUGGUAAGUACAUCCUGAAUCCAAAAUCCACUCAUCCGUUUGACAUGCCAUUGCCAUGCCAACCAAGCUAAAGUCUGACUCCUCAUCAUGAUCCGCUACACAUGCAUUAGAAAUAGCCUUGCCCUUUUGUAGCUUAGGACAAUUCUUUUUCCAAUGCCCUUUUUCACGGCAAAAGGCACAUUCUUCUUUGGCGGGUCUCCCUUUAGACUUUCCCCUUCUACCAGAUUUACUGCUGUAUGAACGACCUCUUACUGUUAAGACUUCUGCAGUUGUAUCUCUGUGAUCUCUUUUAUCUUUCUUUCGAGUCUCAGAUCUAUACAACGCACUACAGACUGCAUCAAAUGUGAUCGUGUCCUUCCCAUGAAGCAAUGUGGUGGUAAGAUGAUCAUAUUCAUCAGGAAGGGAAUUCAACAACAAUAAUGCAUUGUCUUCAUCUUCAAAUUUCUCAUCCAAAUUUAGCAAGUCUGCUAAAAUUUUAUUGAAUGAGUUCACAUGGUCAUUUAUCGACAUACCGGGUGCAUACGUGAAUCGAUAAAGUUUCUUUUUUCAUAUAAAGCCUAUUUUCAAGACUUUUCGUUAGAAACUUUUCUUCCAGUGUAUCCCAUAACUUCUUCGCUGAUGUCUCCCUCAUGACAGAGUACUUCUGCUCUUUGGCCAAACAUAGGCGGAUUGUACCACACGUCUGUCUAUUGAUCUUGGCCCACUCCUUAUCAUCCAUCUUGUCAGGUUUUUCUUCAAGGGCUAUAUCUAGCUCUUGCUGACAUAAGACAUCCAGGAUCUCACAUUGCCACAUACCAAAAUUAUUGGUACCGUCAAAUUUCUCUACUUCAAAUUUUGCAUUUGUCACAGUAGUCCUUACUGAUGACGAUGCUGUGCCAUUUUUCUCCUCAAUCCCAACUACUGUAUACGUGAACAGUACCAUAUAUGUGAAUAGUAUCGUAUACGUGAAUAGUAUCAUAAACGGUCAUAUUCCCUAAGUACGAAUCUGGCUUUGAUACCAAUUGUUGUGCGGAAGCAUGUGAAAGAGUAAAAUUAUUGUACUAAAAAAUCACACUAAGUUCAAUUCCCAGGAAAGAGAGGUGGAUCACGAGGAUCACUUAAGUACCAAGUCUUUCCUAGCCAGAAUAUCCCUCUAUCGUAAUUUAAUAGCACAAUAAAUCACUACAAUCACACUUACAAAAUAUGAACAAUAAAUAGUAAAGAACACUAGAAUUUUAACGAGGUUCAGCAAAUCUUGCUUACGUCCUCAGGCACUACCAAAUAUAUUUCACUCCAAAAUACAAGUGAAAGUUUACAAAUAGGGAGAGAGAACAAUGCCUUAAGUAGAGAAUGGAAAAUGUGGGAUGAUGAGAAUGAGCAAUGGUUGGCCUAUUUAUAGUUGAGGUUCAAGGGCCACCUUGCAAAGUCCCUAUUCACUUAGGGACCAAAAAUUGCUAUUAUUCCAUGCCCAACACUAAAUAAAUAUUUGGUGCCCAUAACUUUGACCUUUCCAAGGUAUGGGUAGGUAUGGGAAAGGUAUGAGCAAGGUAUGGGGUAUAUUCUAAUAGCUUGAAUGUACACAAAUUUGCUAAUGUCUGCUUCAUUCACAAACCUAUCCUUGCUUAUAUGGGUGUCUAGUUCUUCUUGAGCCUUUUUGAGUAUAUGAGGUUUGUUUAGCAUAAGGGAAAGACCCCAUAUUAAGGUAACUAUUGUUGUGUCACUGGCUGCUAAAAUCAUAUUCUGCAAUAUGCAUUUUUCAUAAUUUUUAGAAUUUUAUAAUUGAAUAAUGGAGAGAUAAGAAUUGAAAAAAGAACGAGUAAAAGGUUAUACCAAAGAAGUGGCUUUGUUGAUGGUGUCAGCAUCAUAUCCGGCAAGACUUGCACCUUUAAUAACAGAGUUCAUCACAUCUAUGAAAUCCUUCUCCUUUUUAUUUUCAUCCCAGCGUCCACCCUUCCUAUGGUCAUCUAGCCAUCCCCCAGAAAUUUCAUCCAACUCUCUAGCAGUUAUCUUAAUCCGCUUUUCAUAACCACCAAUAUCCAACCAUCGAAGGAAAGGGACUGCAUCUCCCAACACAAACAUCCCUGUCAAGUGAAAGAAAUCCCGUAGAGCCUUACGAUAUCUUAACACCUCUUUUUGGUCUUCCUCUGCGACAACACUGUACCUCUUACCAGCCAUCGUCCUCAUAAUAACUUUCAAAGUCAAGUCCGAAAAGUGUUUUUUCAUCUCAACCAACACCUUACCUGAGCCAUCCUUUUUCUCUGCCAAAGUUUUAUAUAAUAGUUUCAUUGAGCCUUCUAUUUCCGAGACAAAAACUUUCUUGAGUUGAUCGAUCCUGUGAUUAGAUAGCACCUCCAACAUUGUUAUUUUGUGCAUUU
rnacentral:lncRNA from 1 species